CGGCGAGUGAAGCGGCAACAGCUCAAAUUUGAAAUCUGGCCCCUUUGGGGUCCGAGUUGUAAUUUGCAGAGGGUGCUUUGGCGUUGGCUGUGGUCCAAGUUCCCUGGAACAGGACGUCGCAGAGGGUGAGAACCCCGUACGUGGCCGCCAGCCUCCGCCGUGUAAAGCCCCUUCGAAGAGUCGAGUUGUUUGGGAAUGCAGCUCUAAUUGGGAGGUAAAUUCCUUCUAAAGCUAAAUAUUGGCCAGAGACCGAUAGCGCACAAGUAGAGUGAUCGAAAGAUGAAAAGCACUUUGGAAAGAGAGUGAAAAAGCACGUGAAAUUGUUGAAAGGGAAGCGCUUGGAGCCAGACGUGCCCGUAGUUGCUCAGCCGGGGUUCUCCCCGGUGCACUCUUCUGCGGGCAGGCCAGCAUCAGUUUGGGCGGUCGGACAAAAGCCUGCUAAACGUACCUCCCCCAGGGGAGGACUUAUAGGGUAGGUGGCAUACGACCAGCCCGGACUGAGGACCGCGCAUCUGCUAGGAUGCUGGCGUAAUGGCUGUAAGCGGCCCGUCUUGAAACACGGACCAAGGAGUCUAAAAUCUAUG
rnacentral:rRNA from 1 species